rnacentral:lncRNA from 1 species
CCCACAAUUUUUGGUGAUUUUUGGACAUACAAAUAAAUUAUUAAAAAUCAUACAAGUUUUAUUUGCUAAUUAAAGGGUCAAUUUUUGUAUCCUUGCAAACUAUUAGAAAUCAGAACCUAGUAUUUUUCUUGGAUCCUACAUAUUUCAGAGAGUUUAUACAAAAAUUCUCAUUAUUUUUGGAUCAUCACACAAUUUAAUACCCAAAUUCAAAUAUAAAACAAAAACUGCAUAAAAGAAAAAAAAACAAGACACUGCAGCGGGUGGCCGGAUUUCGGCCCGCAGGCCGGCCCGCUUCGGCUCGGCCCGCACGGACGCUGCGCACUCCGCCUCCUCUCCGCGCGGUCGCUGACAAGCGGGGCCUGCUCGUCAGCCCCC